UCGCCGUGUUCGGAAUCUGCCUUUUUGCUGUCUUUUGGCUCACGGGUGGCGCGCGUCUGUGUGCCUUUGCGUGCGUGUUUGCGGGCUCAGACGACCCUUCUCUGCGGCACAGCGCGGCAGUCCUUCUGGCAUAGAGUCGGGGCCGGGUAGAGUCUGGGCAACGCCGCUCCGUGUAGAGAGCCGGUUUGUCGUACCGCGUCGUCAUCCCGUGCACCAACACAGCCACGGUCCGUGCAGCGCCAGCACAGAGCCAUAAAAGAGUGUGGAGGCACUUUGGGGGUAAUUGGGCACGCCCCGAGUGCGUGGCCGGCAGCACCUGCGCUGGCGGGUGUUCUUGUUUGUUAACUUUCGAGGACUUGCUGCGGCGCGUCUCUUCGAGUGCGCCUCCUCAGCCGUCGCGCCCUUUUUCCCUCGUUCUCCGCUGUCGGGGAAGGGCGCGACAUCUCAUUUUCCCCUUUUCUUUACGCGUGUGUUGUGACGAGUUUCCUCUGCCGAGAGGUGAGGCGGGUGUCGGGUGCGUCGACAGCUGAAGCGACGAAGCGAGGAAGCCCGCAGGCGCUUUCUUUCUCUACCUGACCUCCCCUCUGCCUCCGCAACCCCCAGGCGCGCAGGCGAAUCAGUACCACACGCACCCACAAAAAGCCCCAACGCGCGGCUCGUUCUCUUCUCUGCCCUUCCUCGUUUUCCCCCUUCUUUGUUUGCCGACGCCCCUCCAUCGUGGCCGCCGCUGCUCGCUCGUAUUCGAACGCCGUCACCGUCCUCACGCACACGGAUCUUUCCACAAACUCCUUCCGCCUCGUGUGCGCACCGCUGCCCUCUUCCCUCUUUCUUCCUUUGGAG
rnacentral:misc_RNA from 1 species